rnacentral:rRNA from 1 species
CACGUGAGUAACCUGCCCCUGACUCUGGGAUAAGCGUUGGAAACGACGUCUAAUACUGGAUAUGAUCACUGGCCGCAUGGUCUGGUGGUGGAAAGAUUUUUUGGUUGGGGAUGGACUCGCGGCCUAUCAGCUUGUUGGUGAGGUAAUGGCUCACCAAGGCGACGACGGGUAGCCGGCCUGAGAGGGUGACCGGCCACACUGGGACUGAGACACGGCCCAGACUCCUACGGGAGGCAGCAGUGGGGAAUAUUGCACAAUGGGCGAAAGCCUGAUGCAGCAACGCCGCGUGAGGGAUGACGGCCUUCGGGUUGUAAACCUCUUUUAGUAGGGAAGAAGCGAAAGUGACGGUACCUGCAGAAAAAGCACCGGCUAACUACGUGCCAGCAGCCGCGGUAAUACGUAGGGUGCAAGCGUUGUCCGGAAUUAUUGGGCGUAAAGAGCUCGUAGGCGGUUUGUCGCGUCUGCUGUGAAAUCCCGAGGCUCAACCUCGGGCUUGCAGUGGGUACGGGCAGACUAGAGUGCGGUAGGGGAGAUUGGAAUUCCUGGUGUAGCGGUGGAAUGCGCAGAUAUCAGGAGGAACACCGAUGGCGAAGGCAGAUCUCUGGGCCGUAACUGACGCUGAGGAGCGAAAGCAUGGGGAGCGAACAGGAUUAGAUACCCUGGUAGUCCAUGCCGUAAACGUUGGGCGCUAGAUGUAGGGACCUUUCCACGGUUUCUGUGUCGUAGCUAACGCAUAAGCGCCCG